UUUCAUAUGGAAUCAAAAAAGAGCCCAUAUAGCCAAGACAAUCCUAAUCAAAAAGAACAAAGCUGGAAGACAUAGCUUCAGGUGGCUGUGCUGGUGGCGUUCAAGAUGUUGACCAAAAAUUUCUGAGUCAGUGACAGGGACUGUAUUUGCCUUGACAAAAGUGUGGAAAUGUAAACUUUGCUAGAAGAACCAGUUUUAAUCGAUGUGGUCAGGAGGAAACAACUGAGGCCACGAUGAUGAAAGCUGGGGGCAUUGAAAUAGGAAAGACACUUGCAGAAAAGAGCCAAGGCCUAUUUAGUGGUAAUGACUGGCAGUGUAAAACUUGCAACAAUGUGAAUUGGGCCAGAAUAUCAGAGUGUUAUAUGUGUAAUACUCCAAAGUAUGCUAAAUUAGAAGAAAGAAAAGGAUAUGAUGGCGAUUUUAACAAAAAAGGAAAUGUUGAAUACAUAGAAAGAGAAGAAUCUGAUGGUGAAUAUGAUGAGUUUGGAUGUAAAAAGAAAAAAUAAAGAGGGAAAGCAGUUGGUCUUGCAUCUAUAUUAACGGAAGUUGAAGAUAAAGAAUCAGAGGAAGAAGAGGAUGAGGAUGAAGAUCUUUCUAAAUAUAAAUUUGACGAGGGUGAGGAUGAAGAAUCUAAAACACGAAGUCACUCAAAGUCUCUAUCUUCACAUUCAUGAUCUUCAUCACGGUCAUCCUCCCCCUCCAGUUCAAGGUCUAGGUCCAGCUGCUGUUCAACAGGUUCUUCCAGUUCCCAGUCCAGAUCUCAUUUCAGUUCCAGAGAACAUUCUAGAUCUUGUUGAUAGAAAUUAAGAUCCAGCUCCAGGUCCCACCGUGGCUCUUCUUCCCCACAAAAAAGAUCUUAUUCAAGUUCAUCAUCUUCUCCUGAGAGGAACAGAAAAAGUUAUUCUAGAUCUUCUUCAUAUGGUGAUUGCAAAAAAAGAUGAACAAGAUCACGGUCACCUGAAAGCCAGGUGAUUGGUGAAAACACUUAACAACCCUGAGCCCAGGGCCAACUCCUACAGAACACCACUACUUUACCCAGAUGCCAGACUUCAUCUUCUGGAUCAUCCCAUUCUGGUUCCCGUUAAAGUUCAGAAAGGAAAUAAUGCAUUAAAGUUUACAUCUUAAAAAAAUCCAUUACAGUGCAUGAAGCAUAUUUUGAAAGAAGUUGGUGUCUUACUUGGUCAGAAGUGCUAAAUCUGCUAGUAGAGCUGCAUGCCUUUCAUUGCUUUUCAAAACUAUACAACUGUGUUUAUUUGUGAAGUUAAAAGUAAAUAGCACUUUAAGCCAUAAUGUCCCAAAAUAGAUGCUCUGUCAUUCAUUACUUCCAAACAUUUAAAACAAUUUCAUCUAUAACAAAGUACUUUUCUUCCUACUUUAAACCCAUUUUUCUCAUUUUCAAAUACAUCUUGUCCAUUGGCCAGGACAGGAGUACCUAGACUUGCCUGAACUUUGGGCAUGGAAGCAAGACUGGAAACUAGUUGGAAACAACAUAUUUAUGGAAAAGGAGUCAACCUGUUUAUGCUGUUAAUGGAUAUCAAAGUAAUUCUCACCAAAAAAAGUUAAACUAUGUUGUAAAGCAGCCAACUGUAAAUGAAAUUCCCUAUAAUACGAGUGCCUUAGAAUCACUGAAAUAUUGAAAUUCCCUAUGCUAAGAGUACCUUAGAAUCAUUAUCUUUCUUUUAUCCAUCUUUACUUUUUUGCUCCACCACAUUUAAUGCAAAAGAAUCUCGUUACCCUAGAAGGAGAGAAGCGGUAUUUAUUUUCCUUUCUGAUACAUAAUUUGGGGCAAAAAAGAAAGUUUAACAAUUUAUCACUUAUCUGCUGAUAUGGUUGCUUGAUAAAAACAUCUCAAAAUGUUUACCAAUAUUUUAACAAGCUUUGUGUGAUAUUCUUUAAAAUCUAGUUAUCAAAUAUAA